rnacentral:rRNA from 1 species
CAAUGGGCGAAAGCCUGAUGCAGCGACGCCGCGUGAGGGAUGACGGCCUUCGGGUUGUAAACCUCUUUCAGCAGGGAAGAAGCGAAAGUGACGGUACCUGCAGAAGAAGCGCCGGCUAACUACGUGCCAGCAGCCGCGGUAAUACGUAGGGCGCGAGCGUUGUCCGGAAUUAUUGGGCGUAAAGAGCUCGUAGGCGGCUUGUCACGUCGGUUGUGAAAGCCCGGGGCUUAACCCCGGGUCUGCAGUCGAUACGGGCAGGCUAGAGUUCGGUAGGGGAGAUCGGAAUUCCUGGUGUAGCGGUGAAAUGCGCAGAUAUCAGGAGGAACACCGGUGGCGAAGGCGGAUCUCUGGGCCGAUACUGACGCUGAGGAGCGAAAGCGUGGGGAGCGAACAGGAUUAGAUACCCUGGUAGUCCACGCCGUAAACGGUGGGCACUAGGUGUGGGCGACAUUCCACGUCGUCCGUGCCGCAGCUAACGCAUUAAGUGCCCCGCCUGGG